CCUUUUAUUUUUACUAUUUGUAAAUUUGAUACUGUUUUUUAUCUUAAAACAUUUAAAUUAAUCUUUAACGUUGUGGCUGAAGUAAUAUUACAACUAGGUUACAUUGACAGUUCUUGGUGUCAUUUCGGGUUGCUCUUUAAUUCACUUGUCAGUUGGCCAUUGAAAUCCAAUAUGUGAGGUUUUCACCAAAAAAAGUUCCAACCACGUGGGGAGAGUCCUGUGUUGCCCUGGGUAACAUCCAGGUGUAUCUAUUACAUCCGAUGAAUUUUAUAUAAAUAUGUAAAACAUCUUUAUUAUUUACAUUUAAAGGGUUUUUACCCUAUACAUUUUGGUGGCUCAGGCAUGCAAAUUUUGGCAGUCUGUAACUGUUUCUCUGGCGUCAAUGUAUGAGACUUUAUGCAACUGUCUAUCUCUGCAUACAGAACAUUCUAUAAAGUCUUCUGCAACCUAAACGGAUUUAGACGAAGAUUAAAAAACUUAAUUUAAAAUUAUUUCAUAAUAAAUAUUCCUAUUGUAACGA